UUUUUGUUGCUUUGUUACAUGAGCCCUAGGACAUAAACAUACUUUGUAAGAAGUGGCAAUGGCUGGGACGAUAACAUAACUGAGAAGGCAAGAAAUGCACUGAUUUGAAAAACAUUUUAAAGGUUGACUUUGUUCUCCCAAGUGACCAAUUCUCACAGGUUUAUAAUAAGAGAAGAAAAGUGACCACAUCCUUAAAAAUUCCAAGGAAGAACACUAAUUGGUGAGACUCAUGGCCUGGGCCUGCUGUGAUUGGCCUGCCUGGACCUUGUGCUCACUCCUGGGCUUGGAUCCUGUGAUUAGCAGCCCUGACUGGGACCACAAAGUUGGAAUGGGGAAGAAAUAGCUUCUUAAAAGAAGAGGUUCCCAGGGCUGCAAAUCCUUUCAAGAUAGAAUCAGCUGAAGAUGAGUACUUUUGCUUCCAAGACUGAUGCCACCGUGACUAUACACCUAUUACCAUGAUGCAUAAUUUAAAAUGAACACUUUAUACAUUCACAAAAAGCUGUCAUUUUGAUGCAGAAAAAUUUGAGAUGAAAAAUUCAAUGGGGGCAUUGAAUAAGAAAGAAAGUGGUGAAGGAAACAGGGUCAGCAGAGAGACAAGAGAGGAGAGAGGGGACACUGGGAAGGCCUUCUGCUGCGAAUUACCCUGGCUAAGUUAGCCUCGUUAUUUAAGAUCCAUCGUGCAGAAUA